rnacentral:rRNA from 1 species
UACGUAGGGUGCAAGCGUUUGUCCGGAAUUAUUGGGCGUAAAGAGCUCGUAGGCGGUUUGUUGCGUCGGCUGUGAAAUCCCGAGGCUCAACCUCGGGUCUGCAGUCGAUACGAGCAAACUAGAGUGUUGCAGGGGGAGACUGGAAUUCCUGGUGUAGCGGUGAAAUGCGCAGAUAUCAGGAGGAACACCGGUGGCGAAGGCGGUUCUCUGGGCAUGUCCUGACGCUGAGGAGCGAAAGUGUGGGGAGCGAACAGG